AGAUUGAACGCUGGCGGCAGGCCUAACACAUGCAAGUCGAGCGGUAGAGAGGUGCUUGCACCUCUUGAGAGCGGCGGACGGGUGAGUAAUGCCUAGGAAUCUGCCUAGUGGUGGGGGAUAACGUUCGGAAACGGACGCUAAUACCGCAUACGUCCUACGGGAGAAAGGCGGGGGACCUUCGG
rnacentral:rRNA from 1 species